AAGUUUUUCAUUCAAAGGGUUGAAAACUUGAAAUGAAAGUCGUUCAAUUUUUAAAGUGUUUUCCCAUUUUCCAGGGACUUUCUGAUGGAAUUACUUUUUUUACGGUUUAAUCUUUUUUGUUUCAUUUUAUUAUUAACAACGUUUGUAAUUUCUUCUACUAUUUGGGUUAAGACAAGUCUAAUUAGGAAUUUAGGAGUAUUUUGCCUUCUUUUAUUGAUUUUUCUAUUCAUUAUUUUGAAAAGAUUUAUAUUUUCGGGGAUGUUUUUUUUCGUGAUGGAUGUAUUCAAGGUUUGAUCAUUUCAUUUGUUCGAGGAUGCUCCUGUACGUUUUUCAUCCGGAUAAAUAAAAGAGGCUGAGUGUAGCACAAGCUGACCAACCAAGCUGGACCUUCUAGAGGAAAAGGCUUAAUGUUGCAGAAAAUUAAGAGUCAUUACACAAUCACAAACCACAAGCUAAAACUACACUAAGGUCUUUAUAGACCAUUACACAAUCUAAAUUAACAAAACCCACAAGAUUACAUAACGAAAGGGAUGAGUGCUCCUCUUGUUUUGGUCUGUGGUUGUUGGACAUGCCUUCCGAACACCAUCUACGCGAUGCGAUUUUACCAGGGCAAUAUGUAGUUGAGUUUCCAUUAUAGAAGAUGACACUGAUGUUAAGCCAAUGGCCACUAGGAGUCUCCAUGAAGUAUCUGUAGAACUUGAGAAACACGAAAAGAAGCGGAAGACAAAUAGCAUCAAACAUGUAAUAACUUAGUGGUAAAAACUUUGUUGUUUGACCUCAAAGUUAGGGGUUCGAACCUUACACAAACCAUGUUUGAUAUUUUCUUAUGUAUAUGAAGAUUAUAUGAAGUGAACGACCCAUAAACAAAGCAACACGUGUCACGUAUGCUUUCUUUUAGUAGUAUAGAUAGUUACUUAUUUUUAACA